rnacentral:rRNA from 1 species
UUUGGCCUCGGAUCAGGCGGGGAUACCCGCUGAACUUAAGCAUAUCAAUAAGCGGAGGAAAAGAAACCAACUGGGAUUGCCUCAGUAACGGCGAGUGAAGCGGCAACAGCUCAAAUUUGAAAUCUGGCGCCUUGGGCGUCCGAGUUGUAAUUUGUAGAGGGAGUCUCGGGUUAAGGGUCGGUCCAAGUGCCUUGGAACAGGAUACCGAAGAGGGUGAGAGUCCCGUAUCCGGCCGACGCCAGCGCCCGUGUGAGGCCCCUUCGACGAGUCGAGUUGUUUGGGAAUGCAGCUCUAAAUGGGUGGUAAAUUCCAUCUAAAGCUAAAUACUGGCCAGAGACCGAUAGCGCACAAGUAGAGUGAUCGAAAGAUGAAAAGCACUUUGAAAAGAGAGUCAAACAGUACGUGAAAUUGUUGAAAGGGAAGCGUAUGUGGGCAGACUUGGACGCUGGAUUCAGGCCGYCUUCUGGCGGGUGYAUUUUCCAGCGGACAGGCCAGCAUCGGUUCUGAGGGCCGGACAAAGACGAAGGGAAUGUGGCUCCUCUCUGGGGAGUGUUAUAGCCCGGCGUGCAAUGCGGCCACUUGGGACCGAGGACCGCGCAUUUUGCAAGGAUGCUGGCGUAAUGGCCUCAUACGGCCCGUCUUGAAACACGGACC